UACGGGAGGGGCGAGCGUUAUCCGACAUUACUAGGCGUAAAGAGUUCGUAGAUUGUAAAAUAAGUUAAUUGUUAAAAAUUGAAGCCUAACUUUAAAAACGCUUUUAAUACUGUUUUACUUGAGUUUUAUACAGAAGAGUAGAAUUUUACAUGGAGGGGUGAAAUCUAAAGAUAUGUAAAGGAAUACCAAUAGCGAAGGCAACUCUUUAGUAAAAACUGACAUUGAGGAACGAAAGUGUGGGUAGCAAACAGG
rnacentral:rRNA from 1 species